UAGGAGCAAGUAAGGUUUCAUGACCCUCUCCUCCCAUUUAAUGGGGUGCUCUUCAUGGCGUGUAGAGGUGCCACUGUGAGGUCCCAUGAAGAAGAAAGUGACAAGAAAAAACUUACUUUCUUGUAAAAUUUUAGGUCUUGAAACCUUAGGUAUUGCUGUAUGUGAUGUAAGUUGUGAUGAAACUAGUUACAUCUAAUCUUG
rnacentral:lncRNA from 1 species